rnacentral:rRNA from 1 species
ACAAAGGGUUGCCAAGCCGCGAGGUGGAGCUAAUCCCAUAAAACCGAUCGUAGUCCGGAUCGCAGUCUGCAACUCGACUGCGUGAAGUCGGAAUCGCUAGUAAUCGUGAAUCAGAAUGUCACGGUGAAUACGUUCCCGGGCCUU